UGUAAGCGUAUACCAAAGUUGUUGCAGUUAAAACGCUCGUAGUCGGAAUUUGGCAGUUCCGGAUGUGUGCACGUCGUGUGCGCACUUCGCGGGGAUUGCUUUUGUGGUCUUGCGUAGGAUGAGGCACUUUUAUUAGUGAACGUCCUCACGCAACCACUUUUUACUGUGAGAAAAUCAGAGUGCUCAAAGCAGGCAUUUGCCGUGAAUGUAUUAGCAUGGAAUAAUAGAAUAGGACUCGGUUCUAUUUUGUUGGUUUGUUGGGGCUGAGUAAUGAUUAAGAGGGACAGUUGGGGGCAUUUGUAUUUCGGCGCUAGAGGUGAAAUUCUUAGAUUGCCGAGAGACAAACUGCUGCGAAAGCGUCUGCCAAGGAUGUUUUCAUUGA
rnacentral:rRNA from 1 species